CCUACGGGUGGCAGCAGUGAGGAAUAUUGGUCAAUGGGCGCGAGCCUGAACCAGCCAAGUAGCGUGAAGGAUGACUGCCCUACGGGUUGUAAGCUUCUUUUAUAAAGGAAUAAAGUGCGGCACGUGUGCCUUUUUGUAUGUACUUUAUGAAUAAGGAUCGGCUAACUCCGUGCCAGCAGCCGCGGUAAUACGGAGGUGCCGAGCGUUAUCCGGAUUUAUUGGGUUGAAAGGGCGCGCAGACGGGUUGUUAAGUGAGUUGUGAAAGUUUGCGGCCCAACCGUGAGAUUGCAAUGGAUACUGGGUGGCUGGAGUGCAGGUGAGGCAGGCGGAAUUCGUGGUGUAGCGGUGAAAUGCGUAGAUAUCACGAAGAACUCCGAUGGCGAAGGCAGCCUACUGGACUGCAACUGACGUUGAGGCUCGAAAGCGUGGGGAGCAAACAGGAUUAGAUACCCUUGUAGUC
rnacentral:rRNA from 1 species